rnacentral:lncRNA from 1 species
AUGCGGAAUGAAGCAGGGCAAAGACUAAUAGAGUUUUGCCAAGAAAAUGCACUGGUCAUACCAAAUGCCCUCUUCCAACAACACAAGAGAAGACUCUACACAUGGACAUCACCAGAUGGUCAACACCAAAAUCAGAUUGAUGAUAUUCUUUGCAGCCAAAGAUGGAGAAGCUCUAUACAGUCAACAAAAACAAGACCAGGAGCUGACUGUGGCUCAGAUCAUGAACUCCUUAUUGCCAAAUUCAGACUUAAAUUGAAGAAAGUAGGGAAAACCACUAAGCCAUUCAGGUAUGACCUAAAUCAAAUCCCUUAUGAUUAUACAGUGGAAGUGAGAAAUAGAUUUAAGGGCCUAGAUCUGAUAGAUAGAGUGCCUGAUGAACUAUGGAAUGAGGUUUGUGACAUUGUACAGGAGACAGGGAUCAAGACCAUCCCCAUGGAAAAGAAAUGCAAAAAAGCAAAAUGGCUGUCUGAGGAGGCCUUACAAAUAACUGUGAAAAGAAGAGAAGUGAAAAGCAAAGGAGAAAAGGAAAGAUAUAAACAUCUGAAUGCAGAGUUCCAAAGAAUAGCAAGAAGAGAUAAGAAAGCCUUCCUCAGAGAUCAAUGCAAAGAAAUAGAGGAAAACAACAGAAUGGGAAAGACUAGAGAUCUCGUCAAGAAAAUCAGAGAUACCAAGGGAACAUUUCAUGCAAAGAUGGGCUCGAUAAAGGACAGAAAUGGUAUGGACCUAACAGAAGCAGAAGAUAUUAAGAAGAGAUGGCAAGAAUACACAGAAGAACUGUACAAAAAAGAUCUUCAUGACCCAGAUAAUCACGAUGGUGUGAUCACUCAUCUAGAGCCAGACAUCCUGGAAAGUGAAGUCAAGUGGGCCUUAGAAAGCAUCACUAUGAACAAAGCUAUUGGAGGUGAUAGAAUUCCAGUUGAGCUAUUUCAAAUCCUGAAGAAAGUGCUGCAUUCAAUAUGCGAGAAAAUUUGGAAAACUCAGCAGUGGCCAGAAGACUGGAAAAUGUCAGUUUUCAUUCCAAUUCCAAAGAAAGGCAAUGCCAAAGAAUGCUCAAACUACCACACAAUUGCACUCAUCUCACACGCUAGUAAAGUACUGCUCAAAAUUCUCCAAGCCAGGCUUCAGCAAUAUGUGAACUGUGAACUUCCAGAUGUUCAAGCUGGUUUUAGAAAAGGCAAAGGAACCAGAGAUCAAAUUGCCAACAUCCACUGGAUCAUGGAAAAAGCAAGAGAGUUCCAGAAAAACAUCUAUUUCUGCUUUAUUGACUAUGCCAAAGCCUUUGACUGUGUGGAUCACAAUAAACUGUUGAAAAUUCUGAAAGAGAUGGGAAUACCAGACCACCUGACCUGCCUCCUGAAAAACCUAUAUGCAGGUCAGGAAGCAACAGUUAGAACUGGACAUGGAACAACAGACUGGUUCCAAAUAAGAAAAGGAGUACGUCAAGGCUGUAUAUUGUCACCCUGCUUAUUUAACUUAUAUGCAGAGUACAUCAUGAGAAAUGCUGGGCUGGAGGAAGCACAAGCUGGAAUCAAGAUUGCCAGGAGAAAUAUCAAUAACCUCAGAUAUGUAGAUGACACCACCCUUAUGGCAGAAAGUGAAGAGGAACUCAAAAGCCUCUUGAUGAAAGUGAAAGAGGAGAGUGAAAAAGUUGGCUUAAAGCUCAACAUUCAGAAAAUGAAGAUCAUGGCAUCUGGUCCCAUCACUUCAUGGGAAAUAGAUGGGGAAAUAGUGGAAACAGUGUCAGACUUUAUUUUGGGGGGCUCCAAAAUCACUGCAGAUGGUGACUGCAGCCAUGAAAUUAAAAGACGCUUCCUCCUUGGAAGAAAAGUUAUCACCAACCUAGAUAGCAUAUGGAAAAGCAGAGACAUUACUUUGCUGACUAAGGUCCGUCUAGUCAAGGCUAUGGUUUUUCCUGUGGUCAUGUAUGGAUGUGAGAGUUGGACUGUGAAGAAAGCUGAGUGCCGAAGAAUGGAUGCCUUUGAACUGUGGUGUUGGAGAAGACUCUUGAGAGUCCCUUGGACUGCAAGAAGAUCCAACCAGUCCAUCCUAAAGGAGAUCAGCCCUGGGAUUUCUUUGGAAGGACUGAUGCUGAAGCUGAAACUCCAGUACUUUGGCCACCUCAUGCAAAGAGUUGACUCAUUGGAAAAGACUCUGAUGCUAGGAGGGAUUGGGGGCAGGAGAAGGGGACAACAGAGGAUGAGAUGGCUGGAUGGCAUCACCGACUCGAUGGAUGUGAGUUUGAGUGAACUCCAGGAGUUGGUGAUGGACAGGGAGGCCUGGCGGGCUGUGAUUCAUGGGGUUGCAAAGAGUCGGACACGACUGAGUGACUGA